rnacentral:rRNA from 1 species
GGCUGAGUCUGCGUCCUAUCAGCUAGUUGGUAGGGUAACGGCCUACCAAGGCGACGACGGGUAGCUGGUCUGAGAGGAUGAUCAGCCACACUGGCACUGGAACACGGGCCAGACUCCUACGGGAGGCAGCAGUGAGGAAUUUUGCGCAAUGGGGGAAACCCUGACGCAGCAACGCCGCGUGGGUGAUGAAGGCCUUCGGGUCGUAAAGCCCUGUCAGGUGGGAAGAAUGUCCUGGGGAUGAAAAAGCCUUGGGAGUGACGGUACCACCAGAGGAAGCACCGGCUAACUCCGUGCCAGCAGCCGCGGUAAUACGGAGGGUGCGAGCGUUAUUCGGAAUUACUGGGCGUAAAGCGCGUGUAGGCGGCUUGACAAGUCUGAUGUGAAAGCCCUGGGCUCAACCUGGGAAGUGCAUUGGAAACUGUCAGGCUUGAGUACCGGAGAGGAUGGGGGAAUUCCCGGUGUAGAGGUGAAAUUCGUAGAGAUCGGGAGGAAUACCAGUGGCGAAGGCGCCCAUCUGGACGGUAACUGACGCUGAGACGCGAAAGCGUGGGGAGCAAACAGGAUUAGAUACCCUGGUAGUCCACGCUGUAAACGAUGAGCACUAGGUGUAGCGGGUAAUCAUUCCUGCUGUGCCGCAGCUAACGCGUUAA